rnacentral:lncRNA from 12 species
CUCGGAUGGAGCUGUUAAUCGUCCCUCCUUCCCUGCCCCUGUACCUGGGGAUCUAGGACACUCAUCCCGAGUGAGCAAGACAUGGACCCCAGAGGAGACCAACAUUCAGGGAAUGGAAGUAAAGCUACAUCCGUGGAAGUGAAAGCCCCAGUGUCCCCUCCUCCCUUCACAGGAUGAGCACCCCCCGCCUCUCCCUGCCCGGUGCUUUGUGGACUGAAGAGCCAGCAAACCCAGCCUUCACAGCUGACAGAGAGCCAUCUCUGUAGGACACAUCAAGUCCCCUUCGCCUCCUGCUCCCUCUGCCCCAGGCCGGUGACCGUAGGAAGACAUCCAGGAAGCAAAGAAAUCUGCCGCCAGGGCAGGGAGAGGGGAAUCGUGGGGACCUCUGCAAUCCUAUUCCUCCAAUGGAGGGCCCACCAUCCCCUCUUUGAAUAUCGUCUAUGCACAGCCCCACCCCAUCCACCACCACCACCUGCAGCUGCUUUCAGAAACCCAAGGCUUUGAGGAAGGUAAAGAAGUCCUGCUGAUGUUGAGAGGUUAUGGCGUC